UACGGAGGGUGCGAGCGUUAAUCGGAAUUACUGGGCGUAAAGCGCGCGUAGGCGGCUUGGUAAGCUGGAUGUGAAAGCCCUGGGCUCAACCUGGGAACUGCAUCCAGAACUGCCAGGCUAGAGUAUGGUAGAGGGCAGUGGAAUUUCCGGUGUAGCGGUGAAAUGCGUAGAGAUCGGAAGGAACACCAGUGGCGAAGGCGGCUGCCUGGACCAAUACUGACGCUGAGGUGCGAAAGCGUGGGGAGCAAACAGG
rnacentral:misc_RNA from 1 species